AUGGAUGGAUAGAUGGAUGGAUGGGUUGGGGGGUGGGGGUGGGUGGAUGGAUGGAUGGAUGGAUGGACGGAUGGGGUGGGGAAGGAAGGAAAGGAGGGGGAAAGGAGGGAAUACUGGCUCCAUCUUUGAGAGCUCUGGUGGGCAGGGCAGAAACAGGCCACAGUGCUCAACCCAGACACCCUCACGAAGGGUCGCGAAUCACUCUUGUGGCUCAGAUUGCACUUAGGACCUGGAGGGACAGACCAGAAUCAGGGUCCCCUCCUUCACCCCCGAGUUCCUUACUGUUCCCCCAAGCCUGGAAGCGGUCUAUCCCCCAACCCUGCCAUCUCCCUUACUCAUCCCUCUUUCACACCUUCCCCUUUCUAGCCCCCUCUGCCCUACCUGUCUUUCCUGAGUGUUUGAGGGGAGAGAGAGACCCACAUCUCCCCAAAGAGAUGAGCUUUUGGAGCACAACAUCCCACCAUAGGCCCCCUCACCUGACAACAACUACCUGGCCCCUUGCCAAAUCUCAAGCAGAAUUAGCAACAGGAAAAGCAAAGCCCCAGGAGAGACACUCUACUAUAUAUACUCUUCUAUAUAUUCUGUUUCUAUUGUAUAUUCACUCUGUACAUGUGGGUGUAAAUGCUGUUAAAUGACAAACCCAAUAUUAUACUGUGGCUGGUGGACUCUUUUCAUCCUCAGUGCUGUACAGAUCUAUUUUCAUUGUAUAUUUGAUAUAUUUUUAAUUUUGUAGCGUGUGGCUGGGCCAGGCCCCAGCGGGAGGGGCUGAGCUGGGGCUGUGUGCUUGCUAGGUGUGGGCGCGCUAGUGCUCGUUGUAGCCUUUUGCUGUGUCUUCGCUGUGUGUUAGACGUAGGGCCUAGAGCUCGGGGUGUGUGUGUGUGCUGUGUGUAUGGUGUGCACAUACGUGAGUGUGGGUGUGUGUAGCGUGCUGAUCUGUGACUCCCAGUGUUCACCACUUUCCUGAAGACCACACUCCCUCCCCCUGCCUCCUCCUCCUCGUCUUGGCUCUAUCGGGAGCCUCAGGGCCGGCAGGGUGCCUCAGGAGCCCCCUGCUAUGGGGAAAGGCAUGUGUUUCUUGCUGGUGACUCAUUGCCUUCACACCACUGGGUUUGCCAGAAACAGGGAAGGAGGGCGUUAAGGGAAAAAAAAAUCCUCAAAUUUAUUUACCAGUCAGCUUCUUGCCGUUACCAAUAAAAUUGCUAGCUCUUCUCCAGAGGAAAAGUACUAGGAUUCUUAAGAUGGCGCGACCCCAAGAAGGAGCUCAUAGCACUGCUGCAUUUGCCGUUGAGGCAGUCCUGACAGUGUUUGAAAAGGGCCGCCUGCCCCCUCCCCACUGUGCCUCUGACGCCUUUGGAGUCAAAGGCAGGUGGGGUCACCUGAUGAGCUAAGAUCCAGCCCCAGAAUCCUGGAGAAGCAGGAGGCAGCAGGAGAGGACCAGGUCCCCAAGUCCCUUCACAGGGUCCCCACCCCCACUGGCUUUGGUGCUGUCCACACAGUGCCCACCAGAAGGCAGAGGGAACUCCAGGGCAGGGAUGUGCCUGAAAGAGUCAACAGUCCCCUGAUCCCCUACCUGUGCCUGCCCUCCAGCCCCAUCACCAGCUUCUUGCUCAGGGAGCCUUCCGCCCUCCUCACUGAGGCAACAUGAAGCCAGAGGCCCAGAUGGGGGCUGAACAGGUAGGGCACAUCAGUUAAUGCCAGUGAGGUUGGCUUCUGCCCUCCAGCAAUACAUGUGCAGGGGUUGCUGCUUUCCCAGUGCCAGGAGAACCCCCACUCCGAGUCAGCCUGUGUGGGUCAUGAGGCUGGGGCCCAGGAGCCAUGGUCCCAGGCACUGCACAGGCCUGCAGUAUUACCAGGCAGAGGGGCUGCUUUUCUGCCCUUCCUCACCCCCACCCCCCACCCCACUCCCCCAGAGUACUCCCCACUGUGAAAAGAGCUGGAAACUAAACCGGUUAGAAUGAACCUGGCUCCCUGAGCAUCCCUGGAUCCUUUAAAUAGGCCCAGAGAUGUGAGAUCUGCUGCUUCACUGGGGCCUGAUGACUUCGGCUGGGGGAGGGGGCCUAGUGCCCCUUCUCAUUGAAAGCUCUGCUUUGUACAGACCCAAGCAUACACACCAGGCCGUCACUUUGGGUUCUGGCAUAAGUUCAGAACAAUUCAAGUCCAUGUGUCCCAUGGCUGGCCAGAGCCCUGGGUCAAAAUCACUCAGCCCAGGGGAGGGGAUGAGGCAUUGUCACCCUAGACCCCUCUUCCUCUCUCCCCCACCAUGGUGUGCAAUAAAGUGUCUGUUCUUACCAAA